CCUACGGGAGGCAGCAGUAGGGAAUAUUGCUCAAUGGGGGAAACCCUGAAGCAGCAACGCCGCGUGGAGGAUGAAGGUUUUCGGAUUGUAAACUCCUUUUGUCAGGGAACAAAGGCGGGGACUAGUCCCCGGAUUAGGGUACCUGAAGAAAAAGCAUCGGCUAACUCCGUGCCAGCAGCCGCGGUAAUACGGGGGAUGCGAGCGUUAUCCGGAUUUAUUGGGUGUAAAGGGUGCGCAGGCGGUCUGUUAAGUAAGCGGUAAAAGCCCGGGGCUCAACCCGGGCGAGCCGUUGAAACUGGCGGGCUGGAGUUGGAGAGAGGUACGCGGAAUGCGCGGUGUAGCGGUGAAAUGCUUAGAUAUCGCGCAGAACCCCGAUUGCGAAGGCAGCGUACCGGCUCCACACUGACGCUGAGGCACGAAAGCGUGGGUAUCGAACAGGAUUAGAUACCCCAGUAGUC
rnacentral:rRNA from 1 species